rnacentral:rRNA from 1 species
UACGGAGGAUGCAAGCGUUAUCCGGAUUUAUUGGGUUUAAAGGGUGCGUAGGCGGGCUAAUAAGUCAGUGGUGAAAUCUUCCGGCUCAACCGGGAAACUGCCAUUGAUACUGUUAGUCUUGAGUUAGGUUGAGGUAGGCGGAAUGUGUAAUGUAGCGGUGAAAUGCUUAGAUAUUACACAGAACACCAAUUGCGUAGGCAGCUUACUGGACCUACACUGACGCUGAGGCACGAAAGCGUGGGGAGCGAACAGGAUUAGAUACCCGUGUA